UACGUAGGUGGCAAGCGUUGUCCGGAUUUAUUGGGUUUAAAGGGUGCGUAGGCGGUCUUAUAAGUCAGUGCUGAAAUAUCCCGGCUUAACCGGGAGGGUGGCAUUGAUACUGUAGGACUUGAGUAGAGUUGAGGUUGGCGGAAUUGACGGUGUAGCGGUGAAAUGCUUAGAUAUCGUCAAGAACACCGAUAGUGAAGACAGCUAACUAAGCUCUAACUGACGCUGAGGCACGAAAAGUGUGGGGGAUCAAAACAGG
rnacentral:rRNA from 1 species